GGGGAGAAAUAUGGCAUGUGUCCAAACUGCUUUAACAUCACUUCUGUGCAAGAAUGGGAAUCAUCAUCCACAAAUAAAUUUUCCAAGCAGUUCCUUCUUGCCAGGGUUUGAUUUGACAGGGCAAGUUGCUGUUACGCGGAAAAGGGAGACAUGUGUUAAUUCUUUCUCCGGCCCUAAAGCAACAUUAACCUUUGAUCCUCCAAGUGCUAACAAAGAGAAGACGAAGCCAAAGCACACAGUUGAUCCUAAUGCUCCUGAUUUCUUGCCACUUCCAUCAUUUGAAGAAUGCUUCCCUAAAAGCUCCAAAGAAUACAGUGAAGUUAUUCAUGAAGAAACAGGUCAUGUGCUCAAAGUCCCAUUUCGUCGUAUCCACCUUUCUGGGGAUGAACCACAUUUUGACACUUAUGAUACCAGUGGUCCUCAGGGUGUAAAUCCUCGUAUUGGCCUCCCCAAGUUGCGCAAGGAGUGGAUUGACAAAAGGGAGAAGUUAGGAGGACCAAGGUACACUCAAAUGUUCUAUGCUAAGCAGGGAAUUAUAACUGAGGAAAUGGCUUACUGCGCUGCACGUGAAAAAAUGGAUCCGGAGUUUGUGAGAUCAGAAGUUGCUCGGGGCCGUGCAAUCAUCCCUUCAAACAAGAAGCACCUUGAGUUGGAGCCUAUGAUAGUAGGAAGAAAAUUCUUAGUGAAAGUCAAUGCCAACAUUGGAAACUCUGCUGUUGUAAGCUCGAUCGAAGAAGAAGUUCACAAGCUUCAAUGGGCAACAAUGUGGGGUGCAGAUACUAUUAUGGAUCUCUCUACUGGUCGUCACAUCCACGAGACUCGUGAGUGGAUCUUACGUAAUUCUGCUGUACCAGUGGGCACUGUGCCAAUCUACCAAGCAUUAGAAAAAGUAAAUGGCAUCGCUGAGAAUCUGAGUUGGGAAGUUUUUAGAGAGACCUUAAUUGAACAAGCUGAGCAAGGUGUUGAUUACUUCACAAUUCAUGCUGGAGUUCUUCUUAGGUACAUCCCAUUGACAGCGAAGCGGAUGACUGGAAUUGUUUCGCGUGGAGGCUCCAUUCAUGCAAAGUGGUGCUUAGCUUAUCACAAGGAAAAUUUUGCAUAUGAACAUUGGGAUGAUAUACUUGACAUCUGUAAUCAGUACGAUAUAUCGUUAUCAAUUGGUGAUGGACUGAGACCUGGUUCAAUUUAUGAUGCAAAUGACACUGCUCAGUUUGCUGAACUCUUGACUCAAGGAGAGCUGACUCGCCGGGCUUGGGAAAAGGAUGUACAGGUUAUGAAUGAAGGGCCUGGACACGUUCCAAUGCAUAAGAUUCCCGAGAACAUGAAGAAACAGCUAGAGUGGUGCAAUGAAGCACCGUUUUACACUCUUGGACCUUUGACAACUGAUAUAGCUCCUGGAUAUGAUCAUAUCACCUCUGCCAUUGGUGCAGCCAAUAUAGGCGCACUUGGAACCGCGCUGCUGUGUUAUGUUACUCCAAAAGAGCAUCUUGGUUUGCCUAAUCGGGAUGAUGUGAAGACCGGAGUUAUAUCAUACAAGAUUGCUGCUCAUGCAGCUGAUCUAGCGAAAGGUCAUCCACUUUCUCAGGCUUGGGAUGAUGCAUUGAGCAAGGCAAGAUUUGAGUUCCGAUGGAUGGAUCAAUUUGCUUUGUCAUUGGACCCCGUGACUGCACUGUCUUUCCACGAUGAAACUUUACCAGCCGAUGGUGCUAAAGUGGCACAUUUCUGCUCUAUGUGUGGCCCUAAGUUUUGUUCUAUGAAAAUAACUGAAGAUAUAAGGAAGUAUGCAGAAACUCAUGGUUAUGGAAGCGCAGAGGAAGCCAUACUGCGCGGCAUGGAUGCUAUGAGUGCAGAGUUUCAAGCUGCAAAGAAAACCAUUAGCGGGGAACAACAUGGCGAGGUUGGUGGUGAAAUCUACUUGCCGGAAAAUUACAUCAACUCUUUGAAGAGCUAAAGGACUUCAUAGAUUGAAAACUGGAUCAAGAGCUUUCUGAAGUGAUCACACUCCAUCGGCCAGUCAAGAAGAGGGAGGGUGUAGGAGCUUCAUUAUCAAGUAUUAGGGGUGCCUGUGUCAGCUUCAGAAACCUGGCCUUAUUAGCCAUAAUGCUGACUGAACAGGCUGAGAAAGUCCCUUUGAACCUGAACAGGAUAAUUCCUGCGUAGGGAGUGUGCAUUUUUUUUGUUGCUUGCACAGGGAAGGAGAUUCUUCCAUGGUUCAAAUUAAGCUGAUCCUGCCCUUUGCCAGGACCAGUUGUACAUUAUAUUCAAGAUCAGGGGUGUAUUCAGUAGUAGAGUUAUGGGUUCAUUUGAAGUUUUGAACUCAUAACUUUUAGCCUGAAUUUAUCUGUGUUAGGCGCAUGGCCUUUCUUCGGAUUAGGUACUACAGUUAGCCCCCCCCCCCCCCCCCCCCCUAAAAAAAAAACUUGCUAAGACCUAUUGAAAAUAUUUAACUAUGAAACCAUAAUUCAAACAAUAUGAUGGAUUCAGUAGGUGAAAUCCGAGUGCUGAACACAAAAUAAAAAUCCUGGAUUUGCCUUUGUU